rnacentral:rRNA from 1 species
UACGAAGGGGGGCUAGCGUUGCUCGGAAUUACUGGGCGUAAAGCGCACGUAGGCGGCUUUCUAAGUCGGGGGUGAAAUCCUGGAGCUCAACUCCAGAACUGCCUUCGAUACUGGAAAGCUCGAGUCCGGGAGAGGUGAGUGGAACUGCGAGUGUAGAGGUGAAAUUCGUAGAUAUUCGCAAGAACACCAGUGGCGAAGGCGGCUCACUGGCCCGGUACUGACGCUGAGGUGCGAAAGCGUGGGGAGCAAACAGG